AUAUAAAAUGCAGCACGUGGUGAUAGAUGGUAUUGUAAUGUAUAAAGAAAU
rnacentral:guide_RNA from 1 species